GUCAGGAUGGCCGAGCGGUCUAAGGCGCUGGAUUCAGGCUCUGGAGCAGUGGGUUCAAAUCCCACUUCUGACA